GAUGAACGCUGGCGGCGUGCCUAAUACAUGCAAGUCGAGCGAAGCGGGGACGGGUGCGUACCACUUGGAUAACCUCCUAUCCGACUGGGUUAACUUCGGGAAACCGGAGCUAAACCUGAUACUUCUAGAUGUAUCCGCGCUGCAUUAGCUGUUUGGGAAGGUAACGGCUUACCAAGGCAACGAUGCAUAGCCGACCUGAGAGGGGGAUCGGCCACACUGGAACUGGGACACGGUCCAGACUCCUACGGGAGGCAGCAGUAGGGAAUCUUCCGCAAUGGGCGAAAGCAUGACGGAGCAACGCCGCGUGAGUGAUGAAGGUCUUCGGAUCGUAAAACUCGGUUAGUAGGGAAGCGGGACCUAAUCAGAAAGCCACGGCGAACUACGUGCCAGCAGCCGCGGUAAUAC
rnacentral:rRNA from 1 species